GCUGUACUGUACCGCCUACCAGGUCUUCUUGGAGGAUUAUGGAGGAAUUGGACAUCUUCAUUUCGAACAGCCCGGAAGAGGGAUCCCCCAAACCCUCGCUGAUUCCCUCCCCCCACUCACAAAGUCUCCUUAUCUGCACCACCAAAGCUCAAUCUGGACAAGACUGUGCGGCUCUUCCUUCCAGGGAAUAAAUCAACCACAAUCUCUCCAUCAAUGUUGAGAACUCUAUGGUGUCUACGGCUAAAAGGGGAAGGAACUCCUGCAUAUGCAUGCUCCACAACAUCAGCAGGAUACGUGUGUUUCUCAUUCAGAAGGCCACGCAGCGCAUCCAGAAGGGCGCAAUGUGGCCAGUCAACCCACCCAAGUUCUCAUGCAACACCGCGCCAACGCACUCUGCACCGGCUACCAUUUGGAUGCUUGAAUCCGAUUCAUGUCACUGGUACUUGCCUACAGUGCUGCAAUUUGGCUCAGGCCCGUCCUAACAACCGGCUUGCUGUGAGUGGUCCC
ensembl:lncRNA